rnacentral:tRNA from 1 species
CCGGGAAUAGCUUAAUGUUUGGAAAGCUUAGAAUUCUUACUUCUACGAUGUUGUUGAACUUCUUGGA